rnacentral:rRNA from 1 species
UGGGGAAUCAUGGGCAAUGGGCGAAAGCCUGACCCUGCCAUGCCGCGUGUGUGAAGAAGGCUUUAGGGUUGUAAAGCACUUUCAGUGGUGAAGAAAAGCCGGAGGCUAAUAUCCCCCCGGUCUUGACGUUAACCACAGAAGAAGCACCGGCUAACUCCGUGCCAGCAGCCGCGGUAAUACGGAGGGUGCGAACGUUAAUCGGAAUUACUGGGCGUAAAGCGCGCGUAGGCGGUUCGGUAAGUGGGAUGUGAAAGCCCCGGGCUUAACCUGGGAAUUGCAUUCCAAACUGCCGGACUCGAGUAUGGUAGAGGGAGGUAGAAUUUCCUGUGUAGCGGUGAAAUGCGUAGAUAUAGGAAGGAAUACCGAUGGCGAAGGCAGCCUCCUGGACCAAUACUGACGCUGAGGUACGAAAGCGUGGGGAGCGAACAGGAUUAGAUACCCCCGUAGUCC